rnacentral:rRNA from 1 species
GAUGAACGCUGGCGGCGUGCCUAAUACAUGCAAGUCGAGCGAACAGACGAGGAGCUUGCUCCUUUGACGUUAGCGGCGGACGGGUGAGUAACACGUGGGUAACCUACCUAUAAGACUGGGAUAACUUCGGGAAACCGGAGCUAAUACCGGAUAAUAUUUCGAACCGCAUGGUUCGAUAGUGAAAGAUGGCUUUUCUAUCACUUAUAGAUGGACCUGCGCCGUAUUAGCUAGUUGGUAAGGUAACGGCUUACCAAGGCAACGAUACGUAGCCGACCUGAGAGGGUGAUCGGCCACACUGGAACUGAGACACGGUCCAGACUCCUACGGGAGGCAGCAGUAGGGAAUCUUCCGCAAUGGGCGAAAGCCUGACGGAGCAACGCCGCGUGAGUGAUGAAGGUCUUCGGAUCGUAAAACUCUGUUAUUAGGGAAGAACAAACGUGUAAGUAACUGUGCACGUCUUGACGGGACCUAAUCAGAAAACCACGGCUAACUACGU